UACUAGAGUAGCACUCGCAUAUCAAUAAGCGGAGGAAAAGAAACUAACAAGGAUUCCCCUAGUAACGGCGAGUGAAGCGGGAAGAGCUCAAAUUUGAAAUCUUAAAGGGUUUCCCUUUACGAAUUGUAGUUUAAAGAAGUGUUUUCUGUUGAGGUUUUGGUAAAAGUUCUUUGGAAUAGGACAUCAUAGAGGGUGAGAAUCCCGUAUUUGACCUUUACUUUCAACUUUGUGAUACACUUUCAAAGAGUCGGAUUGUUUGGGAAUGCAGUCCAAAAUGGGUGGUAAAUUUCAUCUAAAGCUAAAUAUUGGCGAGAGACCGAUAGCGAACAAGUACCGUGAGGGAAAGAUGAAAAGAACUUUGAAAAGAGAGUUAAACAGUACGUGAGAUUGUCAAAAGGGAAGCGUUUGACACCAGUGUUGUUUUUCUGAAAAUUAAUUAAAGAACUGUUUAUGCUAAGCUGUUUAGACUUUAUCAGCUAUCUGUUUAGUUUUGAGCUUUUCUUUAAUGCACUUUUCAGUUAACAAGUCAACAUCAAUUUCUUUUGCUGUAAAAAAGCUUGAGGAAGGUGGCUUGAGAUUCGUCUUAAGUGUUUAUAGCCUCUUGCCUAUGCAGUCGGAGAGAUUGAGGUCUGCAGCGUAGAUCCUUCGGGGCUAAAUGCAUUUGUGCUAAGUUAUAGCAUUUUAUAGACAACUUGUUGACUAUGAUUUGUCUUGUAGCUUACUCGCUUAUGUUAUUUUACCUACGCUUAGGAUGUUGAGCGCAUGUCUCUCUCU
rnacentral:rRNA from 1 species